rnacentral:rRNA from 1 species
UACAGAGGGGGCAAACGUUGUUCGGAAUUACUGGGCGUAAAGGGCGCGUAGGCGGCCUGUUAAGUCGAACGUGAAAUCCCCGGGCUCAACCCGGGAACUGCGUCCGAUACUGGCAGGCUUGAAUCCGGGAGAGGGAUGCGGAAUUCCAGGUGUAGCGGUGAAAUGCGUAGAUAUCUGGAGGAACACCGGUGGCGAAGGCGGCAUCCUGGACCGGCAUUGACGCUGAGGCGCGAAAGCCAGGGGAGCGAACAGG